rnacentral:rRNA from 1 species
ACGUACGCUGGCGGCACGCCUAACACAUGCAAGUCGAACGAAGUAGCAAUACUUAGUGGCAGACGGGUGAGUAACAUGUAGGUAUCUGCCCUUUGGCCUGGAAUAACACGAGGAAACUUGUGCUAAUACCGGAUAAGUCUUUACAGAGAAAGCUUUAUGCACCAUUGGAUGAGCCUGCACUUGAUUAGUUUGUUGGUGGGGUAAUGGCCUACCAAGACUGUGAUCAAUAGCUGAUUUGAGAGGAUGAUCAGCCACAUUGGGACUGAGACACGGCCCAAAUUCCUACGGGAGGCAGCAGUGGGGAAUCUUGCACAAUGGAGGAAACUCUGAUGCAGCGAUGCCGCAUGAGUGAAGAAGGCCUUUGGGUUGUAAAGCUCUUUCGUCGGGGAAGAAAAUGACUGUACCCGAAUAAGAAGGUCCGGCUAACUUCGUGCCAGCAGCCGCGGUAAUACGAAGGGACCUAGCGUAGUUCGGAAUUACUGGGCUUAAAGAGUUCGUAGGUGGUUGAAAAAGUUAGUGGUGAAAUCCCAGAGCUUAACUCUGGAACUGCCAUUAAAACUUUUCAGCUAGAGUAUGAUAGAGGAAAGCAGAAUUUCUAGUGUAGAGGUGAAAUUCGUAGAUAUUAGAAAGAAUACCAAUUGCGAAGGCAGCUUUCUGGAUCAUUACUGACACUGAGGAACGAAAGCAUGGGUAGCGAAGAGGAUUAGAUACCCUCGUAGUCCAUGCCGUAAACGAUGUGUGUUAGACGUUGGAAAUUUAUUUUCAGUGUCGCAGGGAAACCGAUAAACACACCGCCUGGGGAGUACGACCGCAAGGUUAAAACUCAAAUGAAUUGACGGGGACCCGCACAAGUAGUGGAGCAUGUGGUUUAAUUCGAAGAUACGCGCAGAACCUUACCAACACUUGACAUGUUCGUCGCGACUCUAAGAGAUUAGAGUUUUCGGUUCGGCCGGACGAAACACAGGUGCUGCAUGGCUGUCGUCAGCUCGUGUCGUGAGAUGUUGGGUUAAGUCCCGCAACGAGCGCAACCCUCACUUUUAGUUGCCAUCAUUAAGUUGGGCACUCUGAAAGAACUGCCAGUGAUAAGCUGGAGGAAGGUGAGGAUGACGUCAAGUCCUCAUGGCCCUUACGUGUUGGGCUACACACGUGCUACAAUGGUAUCUACAACAGGAAGCAAGACUGCGAAGUUAAGCAAAUCCCUAAAAGAUACCUCAGUUCGGAUUGCACUCUGCAACUCGAGUGCAUGAAGCUGGAAUUACUAGUAAUCGUGGAUCAGCGUGCCACGGUGAAUGCGUUCCCGGGUCUUGUACACACCGC